rnacentral:rRNA from 1 species
UCCAGACUCCUACGGGAGGCAGCAGUGAGGAAUAUUGGUCAAUGGCCGAGAGGCUGAACCAGCCAAGUCGCGUGAGGGAUGACGGCCCUACGGGUUGUAAACCUCUUUUGCCGGGGAGCAAAGUGCCGCACGUGUGCGGUUUGGAGAGUACCCGGAGAAAAAGCAUCGGCUAACUCCGUGCCAGCAGCCGCGGUAAUACGGAGGAUGCGAGCGUUAUCCGGAUUUAUUGGGUUUAAAGGGUGCGCAGGCGGAAGAUCAAGUCAGCGGUAAAAUUGAGAGGCUCAACCUCUUCGAGCCGUUGAAACUGGUUUUCUUGAGUGAGUGAGAAGUAUGCGGAAUGCGUGGUGUAGCGGUGAAAUGCAUAGAUAUCACGCAGAACUCCGAUUGCGAAGGCAGCAUACCGGCGCUCAACUGACGCUCAUGCACGAAAGUGUGGGUAUCGAACAGGAUUAGAUACCCUCGUA